UGGCAGUGAGGAGAGAUUGAAAGGCCGGUCUUACGGCUGCCUCCCCGGAUGAUCUUCGUCCUGGGAUGGUAGUAGCGUGAUGUGAUUCGAAUCGGCGAAAGGUUUAUCUCUGAGCCGC